rnacentral:rRNA from 1 species
GAUGAACGCUGGCGGCGUGCCUAAUACAUGCAAGUCGAGCGAACGGACGAGAAGCUUGCUUCUCUGAUGUUAGCGGCGGACGGGUGAGUAACACGUGGAUAACCUACCUAUAAGACUGGGAUAACUUCGGGAAACCGGAGCUAAUACCGGAUAAUAUUUUGAACCGCAUGGUUCAAAAGUGAAAGACGGUCUUGCUGUCACUUAUAGAUGGAUCCGCGCUGCAUUAGCUAGUUGGUAAGGUAACGGCUUACCAAGGCAACGAUGCAUAGCCGACCUGAGAGGGUGAUCGGCCACACUGGAACUGAGACACGGUCCAGACUCCUACGGGCGGCAGCAGUAGGGAAUCUUCCGCACUGGGCGAAAGCCUGACGGAGCAACGCCGCGUGAGUGAUGAAGGUCUUCGGAUCGUAAGACUCUGUUAUUAGGGAAGAACAUAUGUGUAAGUAACUGUGCACAUCUUGACGGUACCUGAUCAGAAAGCCACGGCUAACUACGUG